GAUGAACGCUAGCUACAGGCUUAACACAUGCAAGUCGAGGGGAAACGACAUUGAAGCUUGCUUCGAUGGUCGUCGACCGGCGCACGGGUGAGUAACGCGUAUCCAACCUGCCUCUGACCAAGGGAUAACCCGUCGAAAGUCGGCCUGAUACCUUAUGCAGUCGUCGGAAGUCAUCUGAUGACGACGAAAGAUUUCAUCGGUGAGAGAUGGGGAUGCGUCUGAUUAGCUUGUUGGCGGGGUAACGGCCCACCAAGGCAACGAUCAGUAGGGGUUCUGAGAGGAAGGUCCCCCACAUUGGAACUGAGACACGGUCCAAACUCCUACGGGAGGCAGCAGUGAGGAAUAUUGGUCAAUGGGCGAGAGCCUGAACCAGCCAAGUAGCGUGCAGGAUGACGGCCCUAUGGGUUGUAAACUGCUUUUAUGCGGGGAUAAAGUGAGGGACGUGUCCUUCAUUGCAGGUACCGCAUGAAUAAGGACCGGCUAAUUCCGUG
rnacentral:rRNA from 1 species